rnacentral:rRNA from 1 species
ACGCUCGACACCUACGGGAGGCUGCAGUGGGGAAUAUUGCACAAUGGGGGAAACCCUGAUGCAGCGACGCCGCGUGGAGGAAGAAGGUCUUCGGAUUGUAAACUCCUGUUGUUGGGGAAAAAGAGGAUGGUACCCAACAAGGAAGUGACGGCUAACUACGUGCCACAGCCGCGGUAAUCUGAGCGGGCUGGCAAGGC